GGAAUGGCAUGAUAAGGAGACAGCUUCGUCUAUCAAUGAUCAAAUCCAAUGACAACUCUCCACUCGUGUCCUUCUAGAGUUCGUUAAGUCAUUGUCGAAGGAACCUUUCAAUCUGUUCUUCCUGCUAAGAUAUCUAUCUUAUCAACCCCUUAACUUGACUAAGAUAUCCAUUUUGAGUUUCUUCUAGAGUCUCUAGUCAUGUAAUGAUGUUCAAGGGCAAGCCCUUCGUUCGUCUAUGAUGGUAAACGAUCUUCAAGGGCAAGCCCUUC
rnacentral:misc_RNA from 1 species